rnacentral:lncRNA from 12 species
AUGAUCUAUUGGCAACUUGGAUAUUGGAUACUGAUGUUUAUUUUUGGAAUAGGCUUUCUUCUGAGAGAAGAGUUGCUUGAAAUCAUGCAGAUGUAUUUUAAGAAUGUACUCAAGAGAGGCACCCAAGAAGACAUUUUUGUAUGGAGAUGGGCAGAAAAUGAAGUGAGACUUGAACUUGGAGAGAAAACAAUGUCCUUUUCUUUUGAAGAGGAUCAGGAAGCUGAAAGAAGGAUUCCUGACAGUCAGGCUAAGCUGGACACCUCUAUGGAAACCUGCCAGGAGCUCUUCAAGAAUAAUGAAGUAGAGCCUAGAACCAUGGACUUUAAGAAUAGAUAAUAGCAGUUAUAAACUACUUUUUCUUUCUAUUUCCAUGUUCUCUAAGUUUUCCAAAUCUUAAAUCUUAUUAGAAGGUGCAGUCCUAUCUCUUUUGUGUUAUGGAAGAUAAGAGAACAUAAUGUCUCCUUCCAUCCAUUAAAGGUCAUUGAGGAGCAUUAAGAUGAUUACUUUUGGCUCCAAAUCCCAACUUCGUGUCUAUAUCACAAAGUUUGGCAGCAUGGAAGGCAGUAUCAGAGGGGAAAAAACUUGAGUUUAAUUUUUUUUUUUUUCUGGAAAAAACUGAGGCAGUUCCCAAGAAGUUAACAGAAAUAGCUGGGAAGCCAGUUUCUGAAAUUCAGGCGGCUCGGGACCUUGACAAAAUAAUUUGAUGGAAAACAGAUACACAAAGUCAUUCUAUAGACAUAGGAUAGUGAAGUUCAAGGACAAACAGCAUUAUUACACAGAAUCUAUUGUCUGAAGACAAUAGAUUUUUUUUUGGAAUUUUUUUGUAAUUCUGAAGCAUCCACUCUGUUAACUGUUCUUUUAGCUUCUUUGGCAUAGGGGAUGAACUAGAAAUCUUCCCUUGGCUUAGAGUAUAUAUUUAUUUCUAUAAGGGCGGAUUCAGAGAGCUUUUCCUUGUACCACUUUCUCCUUCACAAAGAUGUAUUUGGAAACCUCCCUGAGAAUUGGCAACAGUUCUUACGUUUCCUAAAAAUGUUCAAACUAUUGAACAUUCAAACUCACAUGCAAAUUUCCUCUUGGGGACAGUACUAGAAACCACAGAUUAUCUAGGAAAAAAUAAAUAACUCUAAAUUGAAAUUCCA